UGGGGAAUAUUGCACAAUGGGCGAAAGCCUGAUGCAGCAACGCCGCGUGAGCGAUGAAGGCCUUUGGGUCGUAAAGCUCUGUCCUAGGGGAAGAAUAAAUGACGGUACCCUUGGAGGAAGCCCCGGCUAACUACGUGCCAGCAGCCGCGGUAAUACGUAGGGGGCAAGCGUUAUCCGGAAUUAUUGGGCGUAAAGAGUGCGUAGGUGGUUUUGUAAGCGCGGGGUGAAAGGCAAUAGCUCAACUAUUGUAAGCCCUGCGAACUGUGAGACUUGGCUGCAGGGGAGGAAAGCGGAAUUCCUAGUGUAGCGGUGAAAGGCGUAGAUAUUAGGAGGAACACCAGUGGCGAAGGCGGCUUUCUGGACUGUAACUGACACUGAGGCACGAAAGCGUGGGGAGCAAACA
rnacentral:rRNA from 1 species